rnacentral:rRNA from 1 species
AUUGAACGCUGGCGGCAUGCCUUACACAUGCAAGUCGAACGGUAACGGGCCUUCGGGUGCCGACGAGUGGCGAACGGGUGAGUAAUACAUCGGAACGUGCCCGAUCGUGGGGGAUAACGAGGCGAAAGCUUUGCUAAUACCGCAUACGAUCUACGGAUGAAAGCAGGGGACCGCAAGGCCUUGCGCGGGCGGAGCGGCCGAUGGCAGAUUAGGUAGUUGGUGGGAUAAAAGCUUACCAAGCCGACGAUCUGUAGCUGGUCUGAGAGGAUGAUCGGCCACACUGGGACUGAGACACGGCCCAGACUCCUACGGGAGGCAGCAGUGGGGAAUUUUGGACAAUGGGCGCAAGCCUGAUCCAGCCAUGCCGCGUGCAGGAUGAAGGCCUUCGGGUUGUAAACUGCUUUUGUACGGAACGAAAAGCCUUCUUUUAAUACAGGAGGGUCAUGACGGUACCGUAAGAAUAAGCACCGGCUAACUACGUG